rnacentral:lncRNA from 1 species
GAGUUCCCUCUGCUUCUAACCCAGACUCACAAUGUGGAGAGUAUCCUUACUGAGAUGGAAAUUUGAAUGAGGAAAAAUGGUCCAUUCCCAGUGGAGAUAUAUUUAAGAUCCUGUCAUGCAUCAGUGGUGGCCUUUCUAGGCUGGGUUACCGGUAAGUGCAGAGGAGAUCAUUACUCCUGCUUCAGCCAUUCUUUUCAGAUUAAAACAAUGGCAUUCACAUCGAUAGGAAAAGACAUUCAGUUGUUUGAACAGCUGUUUCUGUUCACUUCUGGAGAAAAGGAGUCAUAUCAGGUGCAGUCAUGCUUACUGGCUAUGUUGGUAUAACAGUCCCUUGGCUAUGGCCAUCAUAGCAUCUUCACAAUGCAGACUUCCUUGUAAAGACACUUAACUGAUUUCAUUCAGAUGCUGUUCAAAGCUGCAGCAGUUAAUAGUCAUCUCAUUCAGUGUGAAUUAUUUGGUAUUCAG